GUGAAGUCCUGGGGUGAGAAGAGUAACAGGACCCUAUCUGAGGCUACAGGACAAGGUGUUCCUACAGUCUCCUGAAUCCGAGAGUCUUCCCGCAGGAAAUUGAAACCACAUGAAAGAUGAUGAAAAACGAAGCUGGAUCUCAACACAAGGCCAUAUGAGAUGACCUCACACCCUCAAUAUACAAGGAGCCAUUAAUCUAGGAAGGAAGGAAGGUAGGACAGGACUUCUUCACUUGACCCAGAAUAUGUGUAUUUCCUGAGAAAAACAGCAGAUGAUGCCAUCAGAGGAAAGUCUGAAAUUCCCAACAAGUCUAAAGGAGCAAAUGGCAACCAUGUUUGUUGUCACCCAGUUUUCCAAAAAGCAGACAAAUGACUAAGAUCUCUGAUACUUUAGUAUUAUUAUUUGAAAGCGCCAAUAAUUCCAUGGCACUGUACCUCUAAGAGGUGGCAUACAUACCUAAUGUGAAACAAAGGUCCAAUGAGUAUGAACUCAAUAAGAAACUGGUACAGAGGGGGAAAGGACCCUG